GACACAGGUACUCAAGUGGAGAACACUAAGGUGAGCGAGUGAACUAUUGUUAAGGAACUCUGCAAAAUGAGUCCGUAACUUCGGAAGAAGGACUGCUGGUUUUAUACCAGCCGCAGCAAAUAGGCCCAAACAACUGUUUAUCAAAAACACAGGUUUCUGCAAAAUCGUAAGAUGAAGUAUAGGGGCUGACGCCUGCCCAGUGCUGGAAGGUUAAAAGGAGGACUUAGCUUCGGCGAAGGUCUUAAUUGAAGCCCCAGUGAACGGCGGCCGUAACUAUAACGGUCCUAAGGUAGCGAAAUUCCUUGUCGGGUAAGUUCCGACCCGCAUGAAAGGCGUAAUGAUUUGGGCGCUGUCUCAACAAUAGACUCGGUGAAAUUUAAAUUCCAGUGAAGAUGCUGGGUACCCGCGACAGGACGGAAAGACCCCGUGGAGCUUUACUGUAGCUUGAUAUUGAAUGUUUGUGCUGCAUGUGCAGGAUAGGUAGGAGACUUUGAAGUCGGAACGCUAGUUUCGAUUGAGUCACCCUUGAGAUACUACCUCUGUUGUAUGAACGUUCUAACUCUGAUCAGUUAUCCUGAUCGAAGACAGUGUCUGGCAGGCAGUUUGACUGGGGCGGUCGCCUCCUAAAAGAUAACGGAGGCGCUCAAAGGUUUGCUCAGAAUGGUUGGAAAUCAUUCGUAGCGUGUAAAGGCAUAAGCAAGCUUGACUGUGAGACUGACAAGUCGAGCAGGUACGAAAGUAGGACUUAGUGAUCCGGUGGUUCCGUAUGGAAGGGCCAUCGCUCAACGGACAAAAGCUACCCCGGGGAUAACAGGCUCAUCUCCCCCAAGAGUCCACAUCGACGGGGAGGUUUGGCACCUCGAUGUCGGCUCAUCGCAUCCUGGGGCUGUAGUCGGUCCCAAGGGUUGGGCUGUUCGCCCAUUAAAGCGGUACGCGAGCUGGGUUCAGAACGUCGUGAGACAGUUCGGUCCCUAUCCGUCGUGGGCGCAGGAAAUUUGAGAGGAUCUGUCCUUAGUACGAGAGGACCGGGAUGGACAUACCUCUGGUGUACCAGUUGUUCUGCCAAGAGCACCGCUGGGUAGCUACGUAUGGAUUAGAUAAUCGCUGAAAGCAUCUAAGUGAGAAACUAACCUCGAGAUGAGAUUUCCCAUUCGUCAGAAGUAAGACCCCUGAGAGACGAUCAGGUAGAUAGGCUAGAAGUGGAAGUGUAGUGAUGCAUGGAGCGGACUAGUACUAAUAGGUCGAGGACUUAACCAAG
rnacentral:rRNA from 1 species